ACGGACGAGAAGCUUGCUUCUCUGAUGUUAGCGGCGGACGGGUGAGUAACACGUGGAUAACCUACCUAUAAGACUGGGAUAACUUCGGGAAACCGGAGCUAAUACCGGAUAAUAUUUUGAACCGCAUGGUUCAAAAGUGAAAGACGGUCUUGCUGUCACUUAUAGAUGGAUCCGCGCUGCAUUAGCUAGUUGGUAAGGUAACGGCUUACCAAGGCAACGAUGCAUAGCCGACCUGAGAGGGUGAUCGGCCACACUGGAACUGAGACACGGUCCAGACUCCUACGGGAGGCAGCAGUAGGGAAUCUUCCGCAAUGGGCGAAAGCCUGACGGAGCAACGCCGCGUGAGUGAUGAAGGUCUUCGGAUCGUAAAACUCUGUUAUUAGGGAAGAACAUAUGUGUAAGUAACUGUGCACAUCUUGACGGUACCUAAUCAGAAAGCCACGGCUAACUACGUGCCAGCAGCCGCGGUAAUACGUAGGUGGCAAGCGUUAUCCGGAAUUAUUGGGCGUAAAGCGCGCGUAGGCGGUUUUUUAAGUCUGAUGUGAAAGCCCACGGCUCAACCGUGGAGGGUCAUUGGAAACUGGAAAACUUGAGUGCAGAAGAGGAAAGUGGAAUUCCAUGUGUAGCGGUGAAAUGCGCAGAGAUAUGGAGGAACACCAGUGGCGAAGGCGACUUUCUGGUCUGUAACUGACGCUGAUGUGCGAAAGCGUGGGGAUCAAACAGGAUUAGAUACCCUGGUAGUCCACGCCGUAAACGAUGAGUGCUAAGUGUUAGGGGGUUUCCGCCCCUUAGUGCUGCAGCUAACGCAUUAAGCACUCCGCCUGGGGAGUACGACCGCAAGGUUGAAACUCAAAGGAAUUGACGGGGACCCGCACAAGCGGUGGAGCAUGUGGUUUAAUUCGAAGCAACGCGAAGAACCUUACCAAAUCUUGACAUCCUUUGACAACUCUAGAGAUAGAGCCUUCCCCUUCGGGGGACAAAGUGACAGGUGGUGCAUGGUUGUCGUCAGCUCGUGUCGUGAGAUGUUGGGUUAAGUCCCGCAACGAGCGCAACCCUUAAGCUUAGUUGCCAUCAUUAAGUUGGGCACUCUAAGUUGACUGCCGGUGACAAACCGGAGGAAGGUGGGGAUGACGUCAAAUCAUCAUGCCCCUUAUGAUUUGGGCUACACACGUGCUACAAUGGACAAUACAAAGGGCAGCGAAACCGCGAGGUCAAGCAAAUCCCAUAAAGUUGUUCUCAGUUCGGAUUGUAGUCUGCAACUCGACUACAUGAAGCUGGAAUCGCUAGUAAUCGUAGAUCAGCAUGCUACGGUGAAUACGUUCCCGGGUCUUGUACACACCGCCCGUCACACCACGAGAGUUUGUAACACCCGAAGCCGGUGGAGUAACCUUUUAGGAGCUAGCCGUCGAAGGUGGGACAAAUGAUUGGGGUGAAGUCGUAACAAGGUAGCCGUAUCGGAAGGUGCGGCUGGAUCACCU
rnacentral:rRNA from 6 species